rnacentral:rRNA from 1 species
AUGAGGUACCACAGCUGCUCGUCGAAGGCGGCGGCGGUGAGCAGCACCUGCGGGAAGCUGGUGAUGGCGCGGACGGCGCCGUCGAAGUGCAUGCCGUGGCCCCAGAAGGAGAGCCCGUGGAGCCCCUCCGACCACCACUUGUACGGCGGCACGCCCAGCCGCGGCACCCCCGGCGCCUCGUCGCCCAGCUGCGACACCUUCUCCGCCAGCGACAGCCGCGCCACCAGGUCCGCCGCCCGCUGCGCCGGCGGCAGCGCCGGGUUGCAGAACGCGUACCCCUGCGUCGGGGCUCCCUGGCCGCACGAGAACGGCGGGUUGCCGGCGGCGCACACUCGCAGCAAUGCCAGCAGCGUCGCCAGCGUGAGCGCCACCAUGACGGCGGCGUGGUAG